GGAAAGCUCCCACAGCAUUUCGAGCGGAACAGCCAAUUAGCUUGCUAAUUUGCUGACGAGCGGCGGACGGGUGAGUAAUGCUAGGAACUGCCCAGUCGAGGGGGAUAACAGUUGGAAACGACUGCUAAUACCGCAUACGCCCUACGGGGGAAAAGAGGGGACCUUCGGGCCUUCUGCGAUUGGAUGUACCUAGGUGGGAUUAGCUAGUUGGUGAGGUAAUGGCUCACCAAGGCGACGAUCCCUAGCUGUUCUGAGAGGAUGAUCAGCCACACUGGGACUGAGACACGGCCCAGACUCCUACGGGAGGCAGCAGUGGGGAAUAUUGCACAAUGGGCGCAAGCCUGAUGCAGCCAUGCCGCGUGUGUGAAGAAGCCUUCGGGUUGUAAAGCACUUUCAGCGAGGAGGAAAGCUUAAGCGUUAAUAGCGUUUAGUGUGACGUUCUCGCAAAAAAAGACCGGCUUACUUUUGCCAGCAAGCCGGGUAAUCCAGGGCCAAGCGUUAAUCGGAAUUACUGGCGGUAAGCGUACCCAGCGGGUUGUAAGCAAGAUGUGAAACCCCGGCUUAACCUGGGAAUUGAUUUAACUGCAACUAAAUUGGAAGGGGGGGAAAUUUAAGUGUGGGAAAGCUAAAAUUUAAAGAAACCCGGGAAGGGGGCCCCUGGCAAAAUGACCUUAGGUCCAAAAGGGGGGGGAAAAGGAUAAAACCCUGGGCCCCCCGAAAAAAGGAACGGAAUUUGGGGUUUAAACUGGGUCCAAAACCCAUAAAAAACCCCGGGGACCCGGCCAGGGUAAAAAAAAAAAAAAAAGGGGCCCCCAAAGGGGGGUUGGUUU
rnacentral:rRNA from 1 species